AUUGAACGCUGGCGGCAGGCCUAACACAUGCAAGUCGAGCGGUAGCACAGAGAGCUUGCUCUCGGGUGACGAGCGGCGGACGGGUGAGUAAUGUCUGGGACACUGCCUGAUGGAGGGGGAUAACUACUGGAAACGGUAGCUAAUACCGCAUAACGUCGCAAGACCAAAGUGGGGGACCUUCGGGCCUCAUGCCAUCAGAUGUGCCCAGAUGGGAUUAGCUAGUAGGUGGGGUAACGGCUCACCUAGGCGACGAUCCCUAGCUGGUCUGAGAGGAUGGACAGCAACACGGGAACUGAGACACGGGCCAGACUCCGACGGGAGGCAGCAGUGGGGAAGGUUGCAGAAUGGGCGCGAGCCGGGUGCAGCCAGGCGGCGUGUGUGAAGAAGGCCUUCGGGUUGUAAAGCACUUUCAGCGGGGAGGAAGGCGGUGAGGUUAAUAACCUCACCGAUUGAAGUUACGCGCAGAAGAAGCACCGGCUAACUCCGUGCCAGCAGCAGCGGUAAGAC
rnacentral:rRNA from 1 species